rnacentral:rRNA from 1 species
UGGGGAAUUUUGCACAAUGGGGGAAACCCUGAUGCAGCGACGCCGCGUGAUUUAGAAGGCCUUCGGGUUGUAAAAAUCUUUUCUAUGGGAAGAAAAUGACAGUACCAUAGGAAUAAGGACCGGCUAAUUACGUGCCAGCAGCCGCGGUAAUACGUAAGGUCCGAGCGUUGUCCGGAAUCAUUGGGCGUAAAGGGUACGUAGGCGGGUAAGCAAGUUAGAAGUGAAAUCCUAUAGCUCAACUAUAGUAAGCUUUUAAAACUGCUCAUCUUGAGGUAUGGAAGGGAAAGUGGAAUUCCUAGUGUAGCGGUGAAAGGCGCAGAUAUUAGGUGGAAUACCGGUGGCGGAGGCGACUUUCUGGCCAUAACCUGACGCUGAGGUACGAAAGCGUGGGUAGCAAACAGG